rnacentral:tRNA from 1 species
GCCGUGGCCUACUGGUUAGGGCUUCGGACUUCUAACCAGAGGGUUGCCGGUUCGAACCCUGACCAGUAGGCA